CCGGGACUACUAGCCGUGUGACUCCGAAGCCUUGUGAUGCUUUGCCUGAUAAGGCUGGGUUGGACUGUCCGUUUCCUGAGGAUAAGCUGCCGAUCGAUGGCCUCGUCCUGCAGAGUUGUACGACUGCGUGAUACAGCAUUUCCUUUCGAUAGAUAACGAAAUGUAAACGUUUGAAUUCGAGACGUGGUUGAUGGUAAUGCGAUGCUUUUUUAUAUACUAUCCAAGUUAUAAUCUGCACUAUGCGGCGGAAAUUGUUAUGCUGGGAGAGUUACAUGAUAGAAGUUAGUUAAUGUAAAAAUUCGAUAUUUUUUUCGAAAUCAAACUACUGAUAAUGCUCAUAACAAGUGAUGCUCACAGCGUCAACAAACUCUUAACUAACACGUAAGCGAUUAUCUCUAGUCCCUCUAACAAAGGAAAACCUUGAAUUAUGAUGUACUAUUAGUGAACCGAUCAACCUAGUACAAGAAAGGAAAAAGUAGUAGACUCACAGCUCCUGCCAGGCCUGAUGCUCAGGUAUGCCUGGGUUAGGUUUUUUAGGCAUUCAUGGACAUCCUUAGGCACCUUGGGACAACUAGAAGGCAACUUGCUCAGCCUCUCCCAGCCCCAACGCAUCCAUGCGACAAGCCACCACAUUGUCCGCCGGUCGAGUGGGGUCAGCACCACCAGUCCCCUUGCCGCAGUGUCGUUAGUUGGGGAAGAGGCCAUACAACCUUAUUGGUUAGAGAGUAGCCAAGGAGAGUGUUGUUUUCAGAGGCAGUCCUAGAAAUUUGGUAAAGGAGGUGAUUUUUAUUGUAUAAAAAAAAUCAAUUACAUAAGAGAAAAGACACCUAUAAAUGAAAUAUAAAAUUAACGUCAUGAUAUUAAAAAUUCAAAAUUCAUACAUUUAUAAAAUAAUAAUUUAAAUCACACCGCCUAAAAAGUUCCACCAUUUGGAGUUACAAAGCAAAUAACAAAGUUCCACCAUUUUUGAAACCAUGUAUGCAAUUGGAAGUCCCACGCGGACGAAGGGCUUGACCCGAACGCCCUGCCCGAGAUCAAAAACAUCAACUACCGUGAUGUCGUCGUACAAAAAGUCAUCGUUUCCGGGGUUGCUGUCGAGCUCGAGAAGGCCCCGUUCACUGGGAUAUAUUUGUAUAUGUCGAAUGUGACCCUGAAUUUGGGGACCAAGGCUAAGGAGCUACAAUGGAAUUCCACGGAUAUUGGUGGGGCUACGAGCCGCGUGACUCCAAAGCCGUGUGAUUCUUUGCCUGAUAAGGCUGGGUUGGAUUGUCCGUUUCCUGAGAAUAAGCUGUCGAUUGAUGCCGUUGUCUUGCAGGGUUGUACGACUGCUUGAUUCGGUGUUGCUUCUUGAUAUAUGUCGAAUUUAAUGUUCGAAUUCGAUACGUGGUUGAUGGUAAUUUGAUGUUGUUUUCUUAUGCACUAUGCCGCAGAAAAUCUUAUGAUAUACUUUAUUCUCAAUAUAUUGAAAAUUUGACUUGCUGAUCGGUUAUUAAGAUACAGUUUUGCAAAGAUCUCGUAAGCAAUAAGUCGGAAUUAGGCUCCAGCAUAUGAACAACUUCUCCCAUUGCUGGUCUGUGGCUAGUGUCAGGAUCCACGCAUCUAAGACCAACUAAAAGCAUACGUUUCAAAGCUUUCGAGGAGGACGGCAUCUUCGACAGUUUACAAUCCGCCACGAACAUGACUUUCCCGUUUGCUACCCUAAAACUACUCAAACAAAAUAAAAAACUUCGAGACUAAGAACAGAAACAAAAACUAAAAAGAACCUAGCAAACUUGGAUGUGAAACCCUUAUUAGGACAUUGUUUGAGGAAGGCUAGGACCUCAGCUUGCCGAGCUUGAUCUUUAGUGUGGCGGACCUGUCGCCUGCAGCAGACCGGCUGGUGGUGCAGAAGGAGGACUCUGGCCGACUUCCCUAGGCGAUUGCUGAGAUUGCGGCCCUCUAAUUGGUGGGCGUGUUGUAGCAUUGUCAGAGGCGGAGGCACCCGUUGCAGGGGUGGUGGAGGUUGCCUUGGUGGGAGACGACGGGCUGGAGGGAUGGAUCCGGUUUGGUAGAGUUAGAUUUUCAGUUAUGGGGAUGGAGACGAGGGUGGAUUGGUGGGGCGGUGAUGGUGAUGAGAGGCUAGGGAGCAUAUCCUUGUAGGGAGCAUAAAUCCUAAAUUGGGAUGCUAAUUACGUGGAAGCACUAGUCUGUGAAGAGGAAGUGGAGGAAAUACUCUCAAUCCCUUUGUGUAGUAAUGGGAUUGAUACUUUAAUCUGACACUACUUAAAGAAUGGAGCCUAUACACUGAAGUCGGGCUAUCGACUAUUAAUGGAAGGAAUUAUGACGUCCGACCAUCUUCAUGUGCAUGGCCGAUGGAAGAAACUAUGAAGCUCUUGUGUUGCUCUGAAAGUUCGACAUCUGGUUUGGAGGGGAGUUAGAGAUGUACUCUCCACAGGGGUUGCUCUAGAAAGGAAAGGAGUUGAAAUCCCUAUAGAGUGUGCAAUUUGUAGUGGGAACCCUGAAUCUGCUUGGCAUUUGUUUGUCGAUUGUGGCUACGCCAUAGACUGUCGGUUGCUUGUGAAGGAUUUGAGGAAUGGAUGGGAAAGGUGCUGGAGGAAUAUAGUGCGGAGGAUAUCGAGUUGAUCAUGGUAGUGAUGUGGUCGAUAUGGCGGGAAUGCAACAACCUGGUAUGGAAGAGUAAAUCAAGCACUGCCGACUAGGUGGUUUGGAUGCGAAGCAGCUGCGUCGCGAAUGGAAGGAAGCGAGAGAUGGUGGUAAUGACACGGAGGGAUUCAAUGGUGGAAUUCAAUGCAACCGGUGGCAUCCAUCGCACAUCCACGCUUUGAAAUGAAAUUGUGAUGCUGCACUACUGUUGGCAGAGUUGGCUUUGGUUGGGUUGUUAGAGAUGGAGCAGGCUGUGUGAUUGGUUUCAAGAACAGCUCAUGUCGAGGACAACCGACGGUGAAGGAAGGCGAGGCAGAGGCACUCUUGAAGGCGAUGCAAGGAUGGUUGGAAGCGGGAUGGGAUGAUAUCCAAUUCGAGACAGACGCUAAAGUGGUGGGGUCCAAGCUCUUGCAGGGAAAGCUCGCGACGAUUCUGAAUUUGGUCUCAUAAUUACGCAGUGUCACAUAACCCUUGCUCUCUUUUCGUCUUGUUAUGUCUUUCGUCAGGAGGAGUGGUAAUGUAAUCGUGCAUGAACUCGCUUACUACAGAGGUUCCGUUUGCUGGCCCUCUCACCCUCCCGUUCGGAUGAACCCUUUAUUGACAAACUUUUAUUCUGAGAUUCAUUAAUAAGAAUACUCCUUUUAAAAAAAAUCUUAAAUUAACAAUAUCAAUGGAAUUCAUAAGAAAAUUGUUGAGAUAAUAAAGAAGCAUAAACAGAAUCAAACCUUUUAGUAGGCAGUUUAACCACGGCCACUCUGGUGUUAUUGAACAAAACCCCGAAGUAACUGACGCCGCCGUGGUCUCCGAUUCCAAGUCGGUUACAGUCCGCAAACCCGCCGGUGGCAGCGUCAAUCUCCAUCGAACUCAAACUCAAGGCACUCCCCUUCCAACCGUUACACGGCAGCCUGGAACUGGAUUCCAGGUCGCCUAGACCCAAAAUCUGGCCGUCCUGACGGCAGAAAUUCACGGAAUAAUACUCUGCCGUCUGCUCACCGUUACCAACGUUCGUCAUGUCCGUCUGGAAAAUACACUGACUGGACAGGAGCCUCCUGUCAAGGGAGGACGAAGAGGGGAAUCUGCCGCGGCAGGGGAUCACAUGUUGGGAGCACAAACUGGGGUUCGGUUUGGAAGCUCGGCGGCGGCGGUGGAGGUCGACGAUGCAGAGGACGGAGGCGACGAUUGUGAGACAGGCGAUGAGUGAAAAGAGCGGAAUAUUGCAUGAUGGCGAUAGUCCAGAUUUGAAAAAUGUGGAUAAGAUUUUGGAUUUUGUUGAUUUUUUGAAAUUUUCUGCAGGGGAAAAUGCUGUUGAGACUUGAGAUUAUGAUUAUCUGGCUCUUGAAAAAUCAUCCGUAGGCAGGAACCAACAACGUAACGGGAAGCAGCGGGAAAUUUGGAUGUUGAGGUUAUCAAAGAAUUUGAUUCUUUUAUGUUUUAAUUCUAUUCGUUUAUCUACAAAGUAAGGAGAAAAUUGUGAUUUUUAUCUAUCGAUUCGAGCUUCAUCGUUUGUUUAUUAUUUUUUAGUUUUAAAUGUUUUUUUUAAUUUAAAUAAUUAUUUUUGUUUAUUUUUAUUAUCGGAUAGAGCUUGUCGUAUAUUUUCUUACGCUAAAUAAAUGGUGGUCAACCCAUAUUAAGAGGAGACGAAAACCAUAAUCAAGCCCAAACGCAAGUCCAAUAGAAGGCAGGUGAACCCCAAAGGUCGUGUAGUUGAUGGUGUGGUUGAUCGCUUCUUUUGUAAAACACUAACUGUUGUUAAAGCAAAAAUGGUGUUUGUUGCGUUUCUUCUUACCUCGCGUGAUGAAGGAAGAGUUGAUGUGUGGUCUUAUUGGAGGUUGUGGAUGCGUGCAAUGCAUAGAUUGAUGAGAGCCUAUGAGAAUUUGUCAUUAUGGCGUCUAUACAUGAGACUUUCCACGAUUGUCCUUUGAUUUAGGUACAGUAUUGUAGUCGUUGCUUUGUGGAUGUUAAUGAUAAUUUGGCUAAACAACUAAGAGAUGGGACUUGAGGGCUGAUUAGUUGAGUAAUUUAUUCGACUCUUCUGUUAUUAUUAAUUUGUAAUGUCUGAUUGAUAUGAUGUAUUCUUGUCGGUUCAACCGCCAAUUUCUUUGAAAAACAAAAAGAACUCCAAUAACGAGUCAGCAUACAAAAUUGUUCCUAGUCCUAGUCAGCAAUGUAGCGAACAUUCGAGAUAUCCUAGCUGGACGAACUCUCUCGAAACCCCCCUCAGUUCAAAUGAAUUACACCAAAACGCCGCUCUCGAAACGUCAAAACGACACCCCGUCCAAAUAUGGUUCAAAUCCGUUACGAGUAGAAGGAUCCAGAACGCCCGUUUCUCUCCUCAGCGGGAAAAGAUUUUUCCAAGAAGGCACUAGAAUUCUUUAGCUUCUUCUCCCCUCUCAUUUAUAAACCAAGAAGCAAGCACUCAGCUAUCUCACAUCAGACAUUGAAAUCGUGCCUGCUACAAACCUCUCAGUUCUCUCUCUCUCUGCAGCAAUCAAUCUCUAGAUUCAAUUCAAGCGUUGAGGAAAAGUGACAAUGGCGGACGUUCAGAUGGCCGAUGCCGAGACCUUUGCCUUCCAGGCUGAGAUCAAUCAGCUGCUGAGCUUGAUUAUCAACACCUUCUACAGCAACAAGGAGAUCUUCCUUCGCGAGCUUAUCAGCAAUUCUUCAGAUGUAAGUAUCGAUUCUCUCACUUCCUGUCGAUCAGUUCAUUUUGAUUACAGUUUGAAGCGGUUGAAACUCGUUCUAGAUUUCUUCAUGAUAAGGAACUGAGCUAAAUGUUUAGAGUCGAUUUACUUAGCUGACUAAUGUUAAGUCUAUGGACUUGGCUUGAUUUUGCUUUAAAUUGUUUUCAUACGAGUUGAUCGCGGAGAGUUGAGUUUUCAUUUGAUUGUUCGUUUCCUGUGAUGAGGAUGAACUAUGAAUAUGUGUUGAGUGAUGAAUCCAAUCUGAUCGCUCCGUUUGGUGACAGGCGUUGGAUAAGAUUCGAUUUGAGAGCUUGACUGACAAGAGCAAGCUCGAUGCUCAGCCAGAGCUGUUUAUCAGGAUUGUACCUGAUAAGGCGAACAAGACUCUCUCCAUCAUCGACAGCGGUGUUGGCAUGACCAAAGCAGGUAAAUUGUCUUCAGUAACGUAUUUCUUUUUCAGAAUGCCUGGUGUAACCUAGUUGUAAUGCUGAGAUUUCAAAGAAAAUUGGCAUAGUUAGCUGUUUGGUCAUUGGUGUGGUAAUGUUUAGUGAAGCUUUGUUCAGUCGUUCCAAAGUCUUGAUAGGAUAGUUGAUGGUUUCGGAGAGAAGAAAUGUUUGGUAGUUGGCCUAUGAGUUGAACAGUGAUUGUGAUUGUAACACUGCAGAUUUGGUGAACAAUUUGGGUACGAUCGCAAGAUCUGGAACCAAGGAGUUUAUGGAGGCACUGCAGGCCGGUGCAGAUGUGAGUAUGAUUGGUCAAUUCGGUGUGGGUUUCUACUCUGCAUACCUAGUUGCGGAGAAGGUGAUCGUCACAACAAAGCACAACGACGAUGAGCAGUACGUUUGGGAAUCACAAGCAGGAGGCUCCUUCACUGUAACCAGGGAUGUCAAUGGAGAACAACUCGGCAGGGGAACCAAGAUCACCCUCUUCCUCAAGGAAGAUCAGGUAUGAACAGUUCCCAAUUUACUCACUUCACUGCCGCAUUAUGUAAGAACUCGCAAUGAAUGAAGUUUUGGUGAAAUUGUUGUGUAGCUUGAGUACUUGGAAGAGAGGAGGAUUAAGGACCUAGUAAAGAAGCACUCCGAGUUCAUCAGUUACCCCAUCUACCUCUGGACUGAAAAAACAACCGAGAAGGAGAUCAGCGAUGACGAAGAGGAGGAGACCAAGAAAGAGGAAGAAGGAGCUGUUGAGGAAGUUGACGAGGAGAAGGAUGACAAAAAGAAGAAGAAGAAAAUCAAGGAGGUAACUCACGAGUGGGAGCUAAUCAACAAGCAGAAACCAAUCUGGCUACGAAAGCCUGAAGAAAUCACAAAGGACGAGUACGCUUCCUUCUACAAGAGCCUAACGAACGACUGGGAGGAUCACUUAGCCGUCAAGCACUUCUCCGUUGAAGGACAGCUAGAGUUCAAAGCCAUCCUCUUUGUUCCGAAGAGAGCUCCGUUCGACCUCUUUGACACCCGCAAGAAGAUGAACAAUAUCAAGCUCUAUGUCCGAAGAGUGUUCAUCAUGGACAACUGCGAGGAGCUAAUCCCGGAGUAUCUCGGAUUCAUCAAAGGUGUAGUCGAUUCCGACGAUCUCCCGCUCAACAUCUCCCGCGAGAUGCUCCAGCAGAAUAAAAUCCUGAAGGUGAUCAGGAAGAACCUGGUGAAGAAAUGCAUCGAGAUGUUCAACGAGAUUGCCGAGAACAAAGAGGAUUACAACAAGUUCUACGAGUCGUUCUCGAAGAAUUUGAAGCUCGGGGUCCAUGAAGACAGCCAGAACAGGUCCAAGCUAGCUGAUCUGUUGAGGUACCACUCAACGAAAAGUGGAGACGAGUUGACCAGCCUGAAAGACUACGUCACCAGAAUGAAGGAAGGACAGAAGGACAUUUACUACAUCACUGGAGAAAGCAAGAAGGCAGUGGAGAAUUCGCCUUUCCUCGAGAGGCUGAAGAAAAAGGGUUACGAAGUCCUGUUCAUGGUUGACGCUAUCGAUGAGUAUGCGGUGGGACAGCUGAAGGAAUACGACGGGAAGAAGCUCGUUUCGGCGACAAAGGAAGGAUUGAAGCUGGAUGACGAGACUGAGGAAGAGAAGAAGCAAAAGGAAGAGAAGAAGAAGUCGUUUGAGAAUCUCUGCAAGGUGAUUAAGGAUAUUCUCGGGGAUAAGGUUGAGAAAGUCGUCGUUUCUGACAGGAUCGUGGACUCUCCGUGUUGUUUGGUGACCGGAGAAUACGGAUGGACGGCGAACAUGGAGAGGAUAAUGAAGGCGCAGGCGUUGAGGGACACUAGCAUGGGGUCGUACAUGUCGAGUAAGAAGACGAUGGAGAUUAAUCCGGACAAUGGGAUUAUGGAGGAGCUGAGGAAGAGAGCUGAGGUGGAUAAGAAUGACAAGUCGGUGAAGGAUCUGGUGAUGUUGCUUUUCGAGACUGCUCUGUUGACCUCUGGUUUUAGCUUGGAUGAUCCCAACACUUUUGCGGCGAGGAUUCAUAGGAUGUUGAAGCUGGGACUGAGUAUUGAGGAGGAUGAAGAAGUUGGUGGUGGUGAUGAUGCUGAGAUGCCGGCGUUGGAGGAAGAGGGCGCUGAGGAGAGCAAGAUGGAGGAGGUUGAUUAAAUAGCGUUGGGAGUGUGGUGGAUGUCGGGGGUAAUCGGGGUCAAGGCCCAUGAGGACAGCCAGAACAGGUCGAAGCUAGCUGAUUUGUUGAGGUACCACUCGACCAAAAGCGGAGAGGAAUUGACCAGCCUGAAAGACUACGUCACCAGAAUGAAGGAAGGACAGAAGGACAUUUACUACAUCACUGGAGAAAGCAAGAAGGCAGUGGAGAAUUCGCCUUUCCUCGAGAGGCUGAAGAAAAAGGGUUACGAAGUCCUGUUCAUGGUUGACGCUAUCGAUGAGUAUGCGGUGGGACAGCUGAAGGAAUACGACGGGAAGAAGCUCGUUUCGGCGACAAAGGAAGGAUUGAAGCUGGAUGACGAGACUGAGGAAGAGAAGAAGCAAAAGGAAGAGAAGAAGAAGUCGUUUGAGAAUCUCUGCAAGGUGAUUAAGGAUAUUCUCGGGGAUAAGGUUGAGAAAGUCGUCGUUUCUGACAGGAUCGUGGACUCUCCGUGUUGUUUGGUGACCGGAGAAUACGGAUGGACGGCGAACAUGGAGAGGAUAAUGAAGGCGCAGGCGUUGAGGGACACUAGCAUGGGGUCGUACAUGUCGAGUAAGAAGACGAUGGAGAUUAAUCCGGACAAUGGGAUUAUGGAGGAGCUGAGGAAGAGAGCUGAGGUGGAUAAGAAUGACAAGUCGGUGAAGGAUCUGGUGAUGUUGCUUUUCGAGACUGCUCUGUUGACCUCUGGUUUUAGCUUGGAUGAUCCCAACACUUUUGCGGCGAGGAUUCAUAGGAUGUUGAAGCUGGGACUGAGUAUUGAGGAGGAUGAAGAAGUUGGUGGUGGUGAUGAUGCUGAGAUGCCGGCGUUGGAGGAAGAGGGCGCUGAGGAGAGCAAGAUGGAGGAGGUUGAUUAAAUAGCGUUGGGAGUGUGGUGGAUGUCGGGGUAAAUCGGGGUCAAGUCAAACUAGUAAAGGGUCUUUCUGUAAAUUGUGCCCCUGGUUGUGAUGUUGUUUUGAAAACUUGUGUUGGGUCAUGGGUGGUUACUUUUGGUUAACUUUUUGUUUCCCUUUGAUGUUCGAUACCUGCUGCUCUUGGAGUUAUGAUAUGAUAGAGGGUAUCUGCCUUGAGUAAAUUUUGGCUACUUUGUUUCCAAGUACUAUAAGGUCGAGUGCUUAACGAUGUCACGUUGCUUCUAAUGACUUCUGGACAACCUUCUUAAAUUAGGCAGUGAAUGGGUCUACCGGCAGAGUCUGUGCGAAGCGAUCCUUGAAAGUCUUUGUUACCGUUCAAAUGUGGUUUAGGAUGAUAAUCGUGAGGAUGCCAAGUGAUGAGCAAAUUCUCCAGCUUCUCUAGUUUUCAAUACGAGUUUGUAUUUGACGCAAAAUGUUUGUGGCCGAUGGGUGUGGCGAGGAGAACAUACAUGUUCUCAGAGAUUGCUUAGAAGUCAAAGGUUGUGCGGAUUGAAGUUGUACCCGGUAGUAUCACUCAGUUCUUCGAGCUUGGGAGAAAUGAGUGAAUUUCCCAUAGCAAUAUUAGACAAGGGAUCCACGCCUUGCAUAGAGCUGCAAUGGAGGCUUUAGCUCGUGGCAGUCAUAUCGUAAUCUUGGAAGCGGAGAAAUAGGUAUCCCCGCAUAUCAGGAUUCCUCUGCUUAGGAGUAGUUCAAAAUAAAUGAGGAUGGGAACCUCAGAAGUUAUUGAGAAUGGUUACUGGAUUAAAGGCGAUUGACAAUAGUUCAGAAGCUCAUGAUAUUCUACAAUUGCAACAUCUGGAAUAAGAGAUGCUAAGAUAGUAACUACGCUCCAACAAGAUCUCAAUGUGAGCUCUAACCUGCCGCCAUUAUACUAAUCACUAGUUGGGGCUAAGAAGUUGCCCAGUCAGAUUAUUGGGGUUCUAUUCAAAUGGAGCAUUUAGUUUGGACAGUUAGGUAAUACAAAGUUGCUAGAUGCACAUAAAGACCCUUCUCGAGAGGAAUGCCUAAAGCUCGAACAUCAAAUUGAAGGACAAAAAAGGAACAUGAAAGAUCUGAAAAAACUUGCAGAACGAAGUUUUAGAAACCAUUCAUCGAAAAAUAACGAAUCUACGAAGCUUCUCAGUUUAAAACCAGAACUAAAGUUUAAGUUCUUUCUCAUUCAAAGCAUAAAUGCUAACGCACGUCAAAAAAUUCCAAAAUACUACAUUUAACAGCAGAGAGCAACAUCAACCCAAACAGUUUCCAAAGCACAUCAUUCAGCAUAUCCAGAGCUGCUUGGAGCUGGAGCACCACCGGUAUAGCCUCCACGUCCCAUACCCCUUCCAGAACCCUGAAACACAAAACAACAAUGCGUCAGAAUGAGAAAUGAAUCACUAAGAAAGAAAUCAUCACCAAAUUCACAUAUAGCCAAACGAAGAACAUUACGAUGGAACAUAAUUCAACAUUAAAGCAACAAUCAGAUUACCCUGAAGGAUGGCUGGAAGUCAGCUGGAGCACCUUCCUUUCCACCACCAAAACCUCCCUCACGAGGACCACUACGGUAACCAUCACGGUCACCAAACCUUGGACGGUCACCAGGAGGCCCCCUGCAAAUUACAUUCGAACUCAUUUUAUUAACAAACAACAAGAGUUUCACUAAACAGAACCAAAUACAGCAAAACCAAACGUUAGUAGUAGUAGUAGUAGUAGUAGUAGUAGUAGUACCUAGGGCGGUCGCCAUGUGGACCUCCCAUAGGUCGGCCAAUAGGCUUGGCAGACUUCUUCAGAGUAGCGGGCACAAUCUCUGAUGGGAGAUUGAGGUAAGUCCUCAAGAACUCAAUCCCGUCAUUAGUCAGAUACCAAUAGUAGUGCAUCCAGGCGAAUGUCUCACGGACAUACUCCUUGGAUUUGAAGCUCUGCAUCAGCUUAAUCACCUGAAGGUUGGGGACAUCGAUGUCUGGGUGCUUUGCAAGGUUGAAAUCCUUCUUAGCAUAACACACUCCCUCUAAAUGUUUCACCAAACAACAAUUCAAAAACCAAUCACCAAUAGGUUUCAACAAACAUCAAAAACCAAAGUUCAAAUCAACGCUGACACAAAUCCGAAUUGGGGUUCAUGCUAAAAUCAAUCCUAGACGAUAAACCCUAGAUAAUCUUAGCUAGAAGACUUGAAAGAAGAAACAGAACGGACCUUGGAAGAGGUACUUCGAGAUUUCUCUCCUGUUCUUCUCUGAGAUAAUCUGAAGGAAAACAACACAUAAUGAGUAAUAAGGAACAAGUUCAGACAGAAGGAACGGAGCGAAGGUAGAGUAAUGGAGAUACAGAGGCGAAGAUGAUUACCAUGGCUGCGAGACUGGAAGUAGAGAGAACGAAGGAGCUGCUUGCUUAGCGGCUGAGGCGGGUAUGGUUGUACAAAUAGGGUGAAGAGGAAACCCUAGUGAACGAGGCCGGUGUUUAUAUUGGAAAAAAUUAAGGUGGUCUGGGCUGGGCUGGAUUUGUUAAAAGGCUUUCUUCUAGAGACUGUUUCUGUCCUUAAUCGAUUGGUUCAACAUUCAUGGGCCUAAAAGAAUUGAAGGCUUCGUCGGCCCAACCAAGUUUCUAGGUUUCCAUUCAAUAUCCACUUGUUAUGUGUGCAAAUAACCAAAGAAGUCCGUUGAUGGGUAAGGAUAAACCUGCAUAAUAUACAUGAUGGACGAAAAUAAGUUUAGUAGUUAUAAUAAUAAGAAUUUUUAGAUUUUGUUGAUAGAAAUGUAACAUUUUAGUUAUAUUGAAUGACACAUAAGAUAUGAUUCGAUUUAAUAUAACUUAUAUUCUCAUGCCAUUUUUCACCACCAAUUAGUUAAAGGGUCAUUUGUUAUAGGAGAUGGGGAAUUAGUGUAAUUAUAAAUGCAUUGUGUUGGUAAAACUUGUAUGUAAAAGUCGUGAUUACAAAUUAACAAAUCAUAUUUCCAUACAAAUUAACUAUCAAGUGGGUCAUGAGAAAACUCAAAUGUAAANNNNNNNUAGUGGGGAAGUGUUAUUCUCCAAGGUCCUUUGGUACAGGAGAAGUGAGUUUUUAUAAAACUUUGUAUUUGAAGAAAAUCAUUGUUCUAUAUUUUUAGAAUUUCUACAAAAAUUAGAAAUUCUAACUUAAUAUGAGAAAUUUUACGAAGGACUCACCAACGGCUAAACAAACUAAACAUUCUUGAGAUGUAAAAAGAGAAUUAAAGACACAAAGCUUAAUUUCUCCUAUACCAAACGAGCACUAACCCAAUGUGAAUUUCAAUAUUUUAGCUCCAUGGGAUUUAGUUUACAUUAAAAAAUACACAUCACCAGUUUGUUAUUAUGUUUGCUGCAAAGAUAAACCCACAGGCUAAACUUGUACUAGAAAUUAAAGAAGAGAGAGCUCUGGGUUUUGCCUUGUCGGUGUAUUUUGGUACAGUUUUGUGCAAAAUUGUGGGCCGGCAUUCCUGAUUUACUGGGCCUUGCUGAUGAAACUGUGGGCCCUGCUUGCUGAACCUCUAACGUCCAUGCUUAAUAUAACCCAUAAUUUCCAUUUUCUGCUAAACAUGCCUUAAUAUUCUGGUGACGUAUUCUAGUGGGGAAUGUGAGAGGAGACAAAUUAUCUAGUGGAGAACAAAGAUUUUAAAGAUGCAUACACGAAAACUCAAUUAUUUAUGUAAAGCAAUUUUAUAAAGUUUACGAGUUACAGUUAAUGUCGCCACUUUUUUAAUAUCGAUAAGUUUUAAAGUAGCGCAUUCACCGUUGGAAAAAAAAGGUGUGUGUAUGCAAUAUGAUAGGAGUUUUGAUGGUGCUAUACCACCAAACUUAUCGCUCUUAUAACUUGAUUGAUCUUUGUACUACUAUCAAUAUGAAUCUCGAUCUUUACUUUUGAUGAGCUAUCCAGACAUAUGAGACAACAUGUUGUUCAAAUGCUCGUUUGUGACACUUGGAUAUGAUUUGUGUUUAUCGGCUCUGAUUGUCAAAAAGAAAUUUUUUCUUAAAACUGAGACUUGCCGAACUCUCAAAUUACAAAUCGUUGCUCCUCUUAAACAACCUAACGCUUGUUCCCGUCCUAAAAAAUCAUAAGAAAAAGUGGAUUAUGGUAGUAUUACGCUUGUUUACUCUUCAUCUUCUUUUUUUUAUCCCUCAGAACAAAAAUUAUGCAUAUGUGAAACAUGUUUUUAAUCAAAAUGUAAAUGAAUAAAAAUGCACCCGAUUAUUAUAUUUAAUUGUCUAAAUGAAAUUAUUUUAAUUGUGGUCUAUUCAUUUAAAAAUAUCGAAUUUAAAUUUAACAUACAUGAUCCACGAAUAUAUACAAAUAUAAUACUUAUUUAUUUCUUUUCUGUAUUAUGAGAAUUAGUCCAACAAAAAAAUGGCCAUUAUAUUUAAUUGUUUCUAAAGCUACUGUUUUUAAUUACUUCUCCACCAGUAAUAAUUACACCAUUAAAUUUGUAAAUAUUUUUUUACAACAUUUAAUUUUUUUUUACAUGAAGAGUGUAAGUAAUUCAUCCAUAAAGGGUGUGCCUUAUAUAAGGCUUGAAAUGUAGUUAUAAUCGGUCCAAUAAUAUGGGAGUAAAUCUAGUCUAGUUUGCUUUGUUGAUUCUACGAGGUAUAAAGGAUCAGGAGAUGCGAUCAUGAGCGAGAAGAAUGUCUUAUAUAAGAAAGACCCUGCGUAGUUUUGUCAUGACCAAUCAUCCUUAUGGCCUUUUAAGACUAUUAAGACUAGAACAAGCGUAAGGUUGUCUGUAAAGAAAGCUUAUUAAGCGUUCUGUAAGCCUUAGAGCUUCUAGGAGAGCUUUUGCCUCGGCAACCAGAGCGGAUGAACACCGUAGAUCAGGUUUCCACCGAUACACUCGUCCGCACUAGAUCAUCCCCUUGAAGUUCCCGAAAUGAGGGGCCCCUAUGUCAGCUAGUAGUCCAUAGGCCAGUAACUAAAAAGAUGAAAGUAGCGCCCCAGUCCGUAAAACUGGCUCUGUCACCAUUUUUACCUGUUUUCUUCUUUCAGUCUCUGCAGAGCUCCCUCAGAGUUUUUCGUCUUCCUCACGCAUAUUUCCUCUCAUUUUCCUUCUUGCCAAACACCAUCCGCAUUGCAGAAUCUCACCGGCAUAGCAAAGGAUUUUUCACAAGGAAAACUUUGUCCCGGAGAAUAAUAAAAAUAUUACUCUUCCUCAGUCCCUUUCUGAUUUCCCGCCAUUUUCCCCUUUACAGAGCAGUAACAGAGGUAUAUGGAUUUUCAGAAAUACUUAGGGUUUUGGAUCACAAGGAUACGUAGAUUUCACAGCAUUUUGUACGAUAUUGUAGUGUAGUUGUUCGUGAUCAACAAAGUUAAGCUGUGGAUUCUUGGAGAGAAGAUGAGCGCGGGAGCUCCGUCUCCGAGCUUAGUGGCGAAAUCAAGCUCAGAUGAUCCUGCGCCAUGCUUCCGCAAGUAAAAAUUUCAACUCUCCUAAACUCGCUGAUUCCUUUCGCUUUGUGCUUGUUUGAAGACUCUGUUUGUCUUUCCGUUGCUGAGAAAGUUGACGCAAAGAACAGGAAACCGAGUUUCUCCAUGCCGCCUAUCGUUUUUUUCUUUUCUUUCCAGUUCUAUCUAUCGUUGCUAACCGCAUCAUUUUUCUUCUUUCUGAUCUUCACAGCGGCUCGAAGUUCUCUUACACAUUGGAAUUUCUGUUGUCCAUCAGAAAGUCGGAUGGAUGCCAGAGGUUGCCUUCUGGCUUGGAUUCUACUAUAUUGUGGUACGAUUUCGAGCUAUUUUGUUGGUUCCGGUACACGAGUACCUUGCUAAACGUUGUAUAGUUACUGCACCAUUGAUUGAUGAUUUGAUCGUUGUUUUCUAGGGAGAGUGGACUAAAUGAGGAACCGCAACAAAUUCCACCUCCGCCGCUCCCCUUUUCUUCUAGUAAGAUCGGAACCUAGCCUAGCUUUUCUUUCUGCAUUUGGCCUGAUGUCUCGUUGUGUGGCAUUCUAUACCGUAUAAUUUUCUGUGCAUGCUCUAGUGGAAUCAUGAAUACAAGUUAAUGUAAAGAUUGAUAAAUCAAUCUUGCCGUAAUGUUGUGUAGCUGCCAGGAAUAAUCGUAUCUUGCACUGCCUUAAUCUGAUCUACAAUUUCGGACUAGAUUCUGUAAUCUGGAUGCUACUUGUGAAUAGAGAGCAGAACUCUUCUAUAUCAUGUACAUCCUUCUAUUUGCUCAUUGCUGUAUACUGUAUAGGCUAGCUUAUAUAUGUUUUACUUUCCUUUAUCAACUCAAGAUGGUUGUCCUCCCCAGCAAGGAAAGAUAACCUUGAAAACAAGAAUUGGAUACUAGAUGUGUUAUAUUCAAGUGUUCAUGGUGCCAAGGCUGAUUUUCAACUUGCAUUAUAAUGAUUACUUGACCAAUAGUUCACCUAAACAUUAGAGAAGAGGCGUACGAUUCUCUGGAAAUGCCUGAUGUUCAUUACUGUGUGAGACACAAUUGUCUAACUGUCCGGUAUUCUGUUAGUGUUCUUCAUGCCUACUUGCUUCUUUCUAUGUUCUUCAUGCCUUCUUUUACAUUGGUGGAAAUCAACCUCAGCUGGGGCUAUCUCUUGGCAUUCUUAUUGGAAAUACAGAUUCUUUGAAAUGGGAUUCCAACUAUGUACGAAGCUCUCUGAAGAGUAAUCCUCAAAGUGGAAUUUUGGGGAAAGGUGUUCUACUUCGAGCACAUUGCUUACCAACAUUUUCCAAUGUUCCAAAGACUGAGGAGACUACUAGCUGCCAUCUCCUAGCCCGAAGUGCUGCACCAUAUCGACCACCACACCUCUACAAGGUAAACGCCUACGAGCACAAUGACUGUCAUGGAGGUUAAAACUUGGAUCCCUUAAAAAAAGAUGAUUCAAGUUUUGUUUCUGUCAGCCGAAUCUUCAACCAGAAAUCGAUGAUGUCGGAGGGAAAGCAUUUGGUACCUCAGAGGUCAAUAGAGCGGUGAAGACUGAAGAGGAAAGACAGAAAAGUAAGUUUCUUACAUCAAAUAACAAUAUUGUUCUGCAUGUUACCGUCUUCCUGGAUUGCUCUAAUGCUGCAAUGAUUUGAUCUCCUCUGAAGCAUCUGAAUCGUUAUGGAAAGAAUGGCCAGCUAUUCUAGACACUGAAAUGAAUGCUUCAGCUGUUCUGAAAGAAAAUCUUGACCCAAGUAACAGAACAUGCACAUCAGAUUGUUUAAAGAAAUACAGUACUCCUGUUCAGGAAAGUGGCAAUCCGGAGCAAAUCAAGGUAUGUCCACUCUUAUAUGGCUCAAGAAAAUUUCUUCCCUAGACCCAUAAGCUUUAAGAGGAUUAUAACUAGUUCGUAGGUUAUAAGCAAAGCAUGAAAAAACAUUCGUAAGCAGACUCUUGAUUCGUUCUAUAUAUGAUGUUGACAAAAUAAGCACCACCUGAGAUUUACUUCCCGCUAAAUUAGGAGUAUUCUGGAGAUCAGUUAUAUGAAUCCAAAAUCUUUCCUGCUCAACUAUCCUGACUUUCGCAGAAUUAUGACCUCAAAGCUGAUCAGACCACCAAGCUAUCCUCUCCUGGCAUUCUACCUUGGUUUAAGGAAGGAACAGGUAUGUCAAGUAACUACUGUAGCUGUUAUAUUGUGGAACAAAGCUAAAACC
rnacentral:lncRNA from 1 species